GACCCUUCCUCACCACAGCACUUGGUUUCCAGAGGGAUGAAAUGUGCCUAGAAUGAAGGCAAAACUCUCCAACUGGUCUUUGGCUUCCAGACCUGGAGAAGCACAGAGUGAGCUCUCACCUUUGCUUUUAUUUGACACACUGUUCCAACAGUUGGGGGAGUGGAAUCUUCACUGAGAAGGUUAAAAAAACAGUCACCGUAAGCCACAGGCAUCCACAGAAGCAAAUCGCCGCAGCUAAAACAUGGCCAAAAGUCAACUAAAGGAGAAAAAGAACAGAUUGAAAUUCCUUGCGGCUCCCCUCCUGGUUUCUUUCAGGGCCCCAGGCAAGAAGUGAGCAUGUGCUAAUUUGCAUGGCUGACUAAAUGGCAUGCUUACACCCCAAAUUUGCAUCUCUGCUUGGGAUCAGAAGUGAGUUUCUGAACCAGUUUCACUUUGAUUUUGUUA